AUUGAACGCUGGCGGCAUGCUUUACACAUGCAAGUCGAACGGCAGCACGGGGGCAACCCUGGUGGCGAGUGGCGAACGGGUGAGUAAUGCAUCGGAACGUAUCCUUAAGUGGGGGAUAACGCAUCGAAAGAUGCGCUAAUACCGCAUAAUCUCUAAGGAGAAAAGCAGGGGAUCGCAAGACCUUGCGCUUUUGGAGCGGCCGAUGUCUGAUUAGCAGUUGGUGAGGUAAGGCUUACCAAGGCUUCGAUCAGUAGCUGGUCUGAGAGGACGACCAGCCACACUGGGACUGAGACACGGCCCAGACUCCUACGGGAGGCAGCAGUGGGGAAUUUUGGACAAUGGGGAACCCUGAUCCAGCCAUGCCGCGUGAGUGAAGAAGGCC
rnacentral:rRNA from 1 species